GACAGAGGGUGCAAACGUUGUUCGGAAUUACUGGGCGUAAAGCGCGUGUAGGCGGCUAAGUAAGUCGGGCGUGAAAUCCCACGGCGCAACCGUGGAAGUGCACUCGAAACUGCAUAGCUAGAGUCCUGGAGAGGAAGGUGGAAUGCUUGGUGUAGAGGUGAAAUUCGUAGAUAUCAAGCGGAACACCGGUGGCGAAGGCGGCCUUCUGGACAGUGACUGACGCUGAGACGCGAAAGCGUGGGGAGCAAACAGG
rnacentral:rRNA from 1 species